rnacentral:rRNA from 1 species
UACGUAGGGCGCAAGCGUUGUCCGGAAUUAUUGGGCGUAAAGAGCUCGUAGGCGGUUUGUCACGUCGGAUGUGAAAGCCCGGGGCUUAACCCCGGGUCUGCAUUCGAUACGGGCAGACUAGAGUGUGGUAGGGGAGAUCGGAAUUCCUGGUGUAGCGGUGAAAUGCGCAGAUAUCAGGAGGAACACCGGUGGCGAAGGCGGGUCUCUGGGCCGAUACUGACGCUGAGGAGCGAAAGCGUGGGGAGCGAACAGG